rnacentral:rRNA from 1 species
AGGGGAGUGAAACAGUCUCUGAAACCGUGCGCCUACAAUCCGUCGGAGCCCUUUUGUGGGGUGACGGCGUGCCUAUCGAAAAAUGAGUCUGCGAGUCAGUGGCAUGUGGCGAGCAUAACCCGUGUGGGGUAUGCGUAGCGAAGGCGAGUCUUAAAAGGCGUUUGAGUCGCGUGUCCUGGACCCGAAGCGGGAUGAUCUAGCCCUGAGCAGGUUGAAGCGCGGGUAAGACCGCGUGGAGGACCGAACCCACCUGGGUUGAAAACCGGGGGGAUGACUUGGGGCUAGGGGUGAAAGGCCAAUCAAAUUCCGUGAUAGCUGGUUCUCUCCGAAAUGCAUUUGGGUGCAGCGUCGGGUCAUUACGUCCCGGGGGUAGAGCUACUGGAUGCUUGCGGGCCCGUAUCGGGUACCAACAGCAACCAAACUCCGAAUACCGGUGACGCGUAUCCCGGCAGUGAGUCGGCGGGGGAUAAGCUUCGUCGUCGAAAGGGAAACAGCCCAGACCGUCGUCUAAGGUCCCGAAGCGUGUGCUAAGUGGGAAAGGAUGUGGAGUCGCAUAGACAGCCAGGAGGUUGGCUCAGAAGCAGCCAUCCUUUAAAGAGUGCGUAACAGCUCACUGGUCUAGUGGUUCCGCGCCGACAAUGUAGCGGGGCUCAAGCACACCACCGAAGACGCGGCAGUAUUUUGUACUGGGUAGGAGAGCGUCCCAUGAGGGGCGAAGCGGCCGUGUGAACGCGCCGUGGACUUCAUGGGAGUGAGAAUGCAGACAUGAGUAGCGAGAGACGGGUGAAGAUCCCGUCCGCUGGAUGACCAAGGGUUCCAGGGCCACGUUCAUCGUCCCUGGGUGAGUCGGGUCCUAAGGCGAGGCCGACAGGCGUAGUCGAAUGGAUGAACGGGUCGAUAUUCCCGUACCGACCAUGGACCGGCAAAACCGAGACGGUGAGUACUAACCUCCGCCUCGUGGUGGUUCCUUCCUUCGGGUUGGUAUCGCCGCGUGGUGUUGGGAGCGUAGCCGCAGUAGGUCAGCGCAGGGGUGACACGGAAUGGGAGCCGGCCGCGGAGGUGGUCUUCCGUGGUCAAGCACGCAGGGCGUGGGACAGGCAAAUCCGUCCCGCAUGGGUCCGAGGUGCGAUGAUGGGGGCCUUAUGGCCCGAUAUCCGGUGAUCCCGGCUGCCGAGAAAAGCUUCGGCGUCAGGCUCAAAGCCGCCCGUACCCCAAACCGACACUGGUGGUCAGGUAGAGAAUACCAAAGCGAUCGAGCGAAUCCUGGUCAAGGAACUCGGCAAAUCACUCCCGUGCCUUCGGUAUAAGGGAGACCCCCGAUGGUGAACACACUUGCUGUGGGAGCUUUUGGGGGUGGCACAGACCAGGGGGUAGCGACUGUUUACCAAAAACACAGGUGCAUGCGAAGGCGCAAGCCGCUGUAUAUGCACUGACGCCUGCCCGGUGCCGGAAGGUUAAGAGGAUCCGUCAGCCUUCGGGUGAAGCGGUGAAUUCAAGCCCCGGUAAACGGCGGUGGUAACUAUAACCAUCCUAAGGUAGCGAAAUUCCUUGUCGGGUAAGUUCCGACCUGCACGAA